AACGAACGCUGGCGGCAUGCCUAACACAUGCCAGUCGAACGAGACCUUCGGGUCUAGUGGCGCACGGGUGCGUAACGCGUGGGAACCUGCCCUUAGGUUCGGAAUAACUCCCCGAAAGGGGUGCUAAUACCGGAUAAUGUCUUCGGACCAAAGAUUUAUCGCCUUUGGAUGGGCCCGCGUUGGAUUAGCUAGUUGGUAGGGUAAAAGCCUACCAAGGCGACGAUCCAUAGCUGGUCUGAGAGGAUGAUCAGCCACACUGGGACUGAGACACGGCCCAGACUCCUACGGGAGGCAGCAGUGGGGAAUAUUGGACAAUGGGCGAAAGCCUGAUCCAGCAAUGCCGCGUGAGUGAUGAAGGCCUUAGGGUUGUAAAGCUCUCUUACCCGGGAUGAUAAUGACAGUACCGGGAGAAUAGGCUCCGGCUAACUCCGUG
rnacentral:rRNA from 1 species